AAAAAAAAAAAAAAAAAAAAAAGAAGAAGAAGAAAUAAAGCAGUGCUUUAGGGGGUGAUUGUUGUGGUGGCUGUGUGUGUAGAGGGCAGUUUGGAAGGGUGAUAAGAGCAGGUGAGGGUGAUAGCAGAGUCUUACAAAAUCUUCCUUAAGCUGUAAUGAAGAACUUCCCUGGAGUUACCCUUGUGGCGCAGUGGAAACAAAUCUGACUAGGAACCAUGAGGUUUCAGGUUCGAUCCCUCGCCUCGCUCAGUGGAGUAAGGAUCCGACAUUGCCGUGAGCUGUGGUGUAGGUGGGCAGUUGCAGCUCUGGUCUGAUCCCUCACCUGGGAACCUCCAUAUGCUGCAAUUGCGGCCCCAAAAAGCAAAAAGAAAAAGGCAGACCUUCCCUCUUAGCAGGCACAUAUUCCACAUUUACACUCACCUCCAUCUGGUUUUGGCGGGUCUCUUUCUUUUCCAAGCAUGACUCAUGGCUCCCCACUUGAGGGUGAGCGUCCAGAGAACCCAGGUUUUAUUUGUUCUUUUUCUUCUCCUCCUUCUCUCUGUGCCAGCAGCCCAAACACCCUCUGUGCUAUGACCAGCCAUAGCCCUUGCUCAGGGUGGAAAAAUUGGCGCUGUCCCUCGCUUUUGUUUCAGCUGUUUUUCAACACCAUCCGGAACAUCCAAUUAAUUCAGAGGGUGAGAAAAGGAAAUAAUUGGCAGGCAGAUGUGAGAGGAGGAGCUAUACCUGUGUCAUAAUGAAAGACCAAGUCUGUGUUAUGGUCCUUAAAAAAAAAAAAAUGCAGGAGUUCUCUUAGUGUCGGAUUCGUUUCCACUGCGCCACAACAGGAAAUCCACAAAAUUUGAAUUUUUUUAUUUCUGUUUUUUGAGUCCUCAUUCCAAGAUCUGCUGGGUUGGAAGCUUCCUAUUUCAAGGGUCUAGUUUUAGCUUCCAAGCUUUUUCCUGACUUUCCUGUUUUGUUUGGUUUUCUCGCCUGAGGCCAGAUGCUGAGCUCUAGUGCCAGGGUCCUAUCCAAACAAAUGACCCUAUUUCUCCAACCUCUCCAGCGGUGGGGGUGGGGGGUGGGGCUGGCUCUCUAGCACUGAAAGGGCCUCCUAAGUAAGGCUAUUGUGCUCUCGGGGUUGGGGGAGGGGGGUUAAAGUAUAGUUAAUUUACAAUGUUGUGCUAGUGGUUUUGUUUUUUAAACAUCUCCGGGCUGUGACAACAUUUACAUAUCCAGCGGCUAUCCUUGCUGGAUUUCUGAGUUCCCUCAUUUCAAAAGGAGUAAAACAAAACAACCUACCUCCGUUGCAACCGAUUUCAAAAUUCAAGGAAUGAGCAAUGUAGGUGUGCGCGCUCUCUCUCUCUCUUUUCCCUGCCCCGCACGGAUGUCUGUCCCCUCGGAAACUGGUUUGGUCAGGUAUAGGAGCGAUGAAUCUGUCUCUCUCCAGUUCAAGUAUUAUCCUGCGGUGGGAGUUGAAACAGUGUCUAUUUGGCAGAUUUCCCAAAAAUUAGUAAGGAAUUCUAUGCAUUCGUGCAACUCUUAACAGCCCGACCGCCGUCACGUGGGCAGGCGGGGUCUCCGUGGGGACCUGGUUCCCCAGCUUUUCACUUGCUCAGCGUCAGCCCCGCCAUCCCCUCCUCGGAGAGGCGUGCGGAUCACUUCUGCCAUCGCUGCGGGUCAGCGGCGGGCUAACCUCUGUGCCGCGUUGUCGUCAUCGACUGAUGAGACGUUGAUUGCGUUGCCAGAGCAGUUGUUUCUCAAGAGAUUUUUCUUCAUCUAUAGAAAGUAGGGCAAGACCCAGUCUAUAAUAGGUGUUUAAUACCACUUUGCUCAUGGAAGGAAGGGACGGAGGGAGGGAGGAAGAAGGGGAAGGAAGACGCGAUCCCAUCCAUCUCUCUCCUCCUCCACCGGCUCUCUUCUGCCCCACCCGUCCCCGCUGGCCUGCCCUCCUGGAUGAGAAGACAGUUUGCAACAGAAAGAAAGAAGGGAAGGGAGGAAGGGAGGGAGAGAAAGAAACGAAAGAAAGCAGAUGGAUUUUGAGUUCCCAGUUCAUCAAAAUUUCUCCAUUUACUAGGUCUCAACGACCUGGCAUUGAAUUAUUGAGAAUGGCGGAGAGCCCACGCAAAAACAAAGACGCUCAUGCACCAAAAUAGCAUAUUUUAAAAAUUCUCCCAUUCCAAUCAAAGCUUUUAUUCAGAGUCAAAUCUAGCUCCCUGCGGGAAAAGUUGAGCAUUCUAACUCUGGUUUUGACAGUGGUGGUGACUUGGGCUUUCCCUUUGCUUCAAUUUGUUCAUCUGUAAAAUGAGUCUGGAUUUAAAAACUCCAGUUAGGAGUUCCCAGUGUGGCUCAUUGGGGUUGAGAACCUGACACUGUAUCCAUGAGGUUGCAGGUUCAGUUUCUCU
rnacentral:lncRNA from 1 species